AUGGAAGCUGCACCCGUCGGUGUGGUCGAGAUGGAUGCAAUGACGCACCCGACGGCCAGCUAUGAACCAUCGAUCACAGAGUUGCAAACUGCCGAAUGGCAAGAUGCACCUGCGGAGGGAGAGGGGGCGCUGCUGGAAUCGACCAUCAAUUUUAUUGUAACCAACAUGGAGACGAGUUGGAACCGACCAACAAUUUUGGUGGAACCAGCAUGGAGACGAGUUGGAACUGACCAACAAUUUGGUUGCGACGCCAAAGACUGUUGGGACCAACAUGUCAACUAG
rnacentral:rRNA from 1 species